rnacentral:rRNA from 1 species
UACGGAGGAUGCGAGCGUUAUCCGGAUUUAUUGGGUUUAAAGGGUGCGUAGACGGCUUAGUAAGUCAGCGGUGAAAUUUUGCAGCUUAACUGUAACAGUGCCGUUGAUACUGCCAGGCUAGGAUUUGGUUGCUGUGGGUGGAAUGUGUGGUGUAGCGGUGAAAUGCUUAGAUAUCACACAGAACACCGAUUGCGAAGGCAGCUUACUAAUCCAUCAUUGACGCUGAGGCACGAAAGCGUGGGGAUCAAACAGGAUUA